AUGGUCCCCUGGCUAAACCUGGUGUCCUUUUUAGUAGUCCUGCAAGGAGUUCAGUGUGAGGUCCAGUUGGUGGAGUCCGGAGGGGACGUGAGGAGGCCUGGAGAGUCCCUCCGUCUCUCCUGCCAAGCCUCCGGAUUCGACUUCGGGAGCUAUGAAAUGAGCUGGGUGAGACAGGCUCCCGGAAAAGGACUGGAAUGGGUGGCAUACAUACAUCCUUAUUCCAGUACUAUUACCUACUCGGAAAACGUCAAGGGACGCUUCACCACCACCAGGGACAACUCCAAAAGCCAACUCUAUCUGCAGAUGAACAGCCUGAAGACGGAGGACACGGCAGUCUAUUACUGUGCAAGACACACAGUGGGAGGAAGUGAGUCUGAAGCCUGGCAAAAACUCUCUCUUCUUCAGAGCCGCUCUGACAAGAGGAGAGGAGCUCAGCCUGGAGCCAAACAGAAACCCCCGUUGUCUGGAGCUGCCUCCAUCCACACGUUUGAUCCGUGA